rnacentral:lncRNA from 1 species
CUGCCUUAGCCUUCUUCCUUCUUCUCUUCUCUUUUUGGCACACAAGAACCUCAAUGUCACUCCCCUUUUGGACUGGAGCUCUGGUGACAGGAACUAUCGGGGUGGGUCUACAUGACCUGCUCACACAUUUCUGAACAUUUGAGUGGGUGGCUCCCUCUGCCUGCUGGCCUUUCCCAGCUAGCUCUGUCCCCCAGGAAGAGUCCUCCUACUCCUUCAGGAGUCUGUGUGUGGACAUCUGCUUUGAACCUACAGUAGCAUCAAAAUGACUGCACUUAUGGUUUGGAUCUGCUGCCCAAUGGCUCAUUAUGUUGGAGGCUUGGUCCCCAGUGCAGCAGUGUUCAGAGGGAACUCAGAGCUUAAUGGGAGGAGGAGGACGACGAUGAGUAAGUGCUGCGGCUGCAGCAGCCUCAUUGAGCUGUGUUCACUGUGUAUCUUGAUUACAUGGAGAAGGCUCGUGGCAUGACUGACUUAGCCCAUCUAGUUUGAAGGACAUGCACUGUGUGAGAUUUACACAACAUGGAUUGCCCAACUGCACAUUUUCAGUGUGUCUCCCUGCCGUGAAGCAACCAGUGACUGUAUUUUAGGUGAUUAUAGUUUUUUCAAAAUUUUCUUCGUUCAGUGGACAGAUGGAGUGAAAGGUGAGGAGGGGAUGAAGUCUUUUUUUUUUUUUUUU